GCUGACACACUGACAAGCUGCUGGAAGCCUUUUUUCCACACUGUUGGACUCAACUUUUUAGCUCCACUAGAGGGCGACAUUAUCAAGUAGGCGGUGCACUACUUCUGCACUGUGUUCAACCAUUCUGUCAAUAAUAACUGCUGCUGUGAAGAGAACAAUUGUCACACUGAAUGUUGAACAUCAGCUAGUUUCUCCUGUUGAUUUAAACCUUGUUGUAGAGAUGGAACAUUGGCUGUGGAUUAUUCUUGCUGCUCUUUUCUUUGGACUAAUAGCUGGAGACACAAUCUCUCCUGUAGGAGAUAAAGUCAGUGGAAGAGAAGGAGAAUCUGUCACACUCAAAUGUCAAUAUGAGACAGCUGAAAGCUAUAUUAGGCUUUACUGGUACAGACAUUCUGACCUUCAGGCUCCUCAGUUUAUACUCUAUAAAGGAGCAAAAGAUAACACAGAUGAUGAAUAUAUUCCAGAUAAUCGAUAUGAAUCUGAAACAACAGAUUCAUCAACUGAACUGACCAUCAGAAAACUAACCCUGGCAGACACAGCUCUCUACUACUGUGCUCUAGAAACACAGUGAUACAAAGUGUAGAAGAGGCUGUACAAAAACCUGAACACAGAUAUCUGACUACUCUUCAAAGAGGAGGGAAGUGGUAUUCAAACCACAGCUUCAUAUCAGAUGGAUUCUGCUAAUUCCUGUUUUAUCAGAGUCACUGUGGUUACAGCUGCUAAUGAAACACUGUGGGAGGAUUCACAUGAGCAGCAAAUCCACAUCAAUGACAAACCAACUGGAUGAUGCUUCAAACACAAGACCAUUUUACAGACUAAAAGACUUUUCAACGAUUAAAGUUUUGUUAGUUGCAGCCUUAAUCAUGUUUUCUGUUCCAAGAUUUCUUUAAACAUGUUUCACACUCACAACAGUUAGAAUGUCUGUACAGUGUGCAGUUUGGAUGUUUCAGGAAGUUGUUUCUCUACAGACUGAUUCAGUUGAGUUUUCUGCAGAUUCCUCCUUCAGUCUGACCUUCUUGGAUGAUGAUGAUUUCAGCAUCACUGUCAUUUCUAAAGCUUCCAUCAGCCUGAAUGCAAACAGACCACAGCAAGAGGAGGAGCUACACAAUUCAUUUUGGAAGUGAAGAGCUGCUGUGUUCUCUCUGUUGUUCAUUCAGUACAAGUGGAAAUAAUGCAGCUCUCUUUAGUUUGGAUGAUGAUCUUCAUCUUUCAUACUGGAUCCUCUGAGGAUUUAGUGAAACCAUUUAAAGAUGUAAUGCUGGCUUUGGAAGGAGACACUGUGACUCUCUCCUGUAAAUAUUCAGACUCUGUUGACAACCUCUUCUGGUAUCAAAAGAAGUUCAGUUCACCUCCAC